rnacentral:lncRNA from 1 species
CAAAACUAUACAAGUAGCAAAAUUUAUUUAAUAAUAUUAAUAAUGAUGUAAUUAUACGACGUUUUCAAAGUGUCAAAAUAUAUAUAAACUUAUUUUCAUGAUAUUAUGUUGUUUAUUAAAAAAAUUAUUUUUAAAAUUUUGACCCCACAAUACUAAAGGUCUGGGUCCGCCCAUUCUUAAGUUCUUAUGAUUAUUUCGACUUUCAGCUGCAUCUUAGUUUUAAGUUAAUUGCUCGAGUGAACUCUUUGCAUAAUGUAAGUUCAUUUAUAAUCAGAGGUAUAUAUCCAUCUAUUCUGACAUAUAAAAUUUUGUUGUUGCUUCGAGUUAAAAGCUCUAUUCAAAUUGGUUACUUAUUAAUGUGCCAAGUUUUCUCAUGUUAUAUAUCAUAUCGGGUGAAGAAACUCCUGAGUCUUUGUUUAUGAAGUAUCUCAGGAGACGAGGGAUGGCCCCUGCUUCAUGGAUUGAGGAGAAAAAUAGGAGCAUUGAGGGAGAUGAUGCUAUGAAGUUCAGGGAGGAAGAUGGGAUUGGGGUUCCUCGAUAAGAAAUGGAGUAAUGACUGAUUAUGAAAGAAACCUAUCUAAUCAAAGGGAAACAUCAAUGGCACUGAAUAGUGAAGGCCUUGAGGUGGGCAAUAACUUCGAAGAUUUUCUUCAAAAUAAACUAUGACACUUGCAUGUAGUUUCAUUCUCUGUCUCACUUCUUGUUUUCUCCAUGUUUUGGUGACCCUGAAAUUAUUGUUGCUCUCUAUUGUAUGCAGUACUUCUCUUUCUUCCUUCAAGUGAAAAAAGGGGGAAAACUCCCAGAGAAAGAACAACAUACAGCUA